UAUUGUAAUUCUUACAGUUUCAUCUAAUUUGUCGUUUCAUCAACAGCAACAGUAUUUGUGGUGUGAAAUGGUAUUGGAAACGCUCAUUUUUUCCUAUUUUCUUAAAAAGACACGAGAUUGGAAGAAGCGUCUUAAAAAGGCUAAAACAGGUGAAGACGGUGUCGAUGGUGACAUAGACGGUAACAAGAAAAGUAAGCGGUCAGUAGUCAGUAAUGUGUUAAUGAUAUGGGGCUUUGUUGAGUCUUUUUCGUUAAUUUUGGUGUUAUUACGCAUGGCUACCAAUAACAAUCUGAAAGGCUAUCCACACAAUUUCAUUAAUGAUUUCUGUGACCCUCCACAUAAAUGCGACGCUAUCAUACUCCGGAUAAUUUUUUAUAAAUUAUUGACAAGCAUCGUCUUGGUGGUCGGUGUGAAAUAUAGAUGGACAAUAGCCCUGAUUCCAUGGCUACUCGUCAAUGUGCUUGGAAUAUUUCCAUAUUCGUUGGUGGCGACUUCCGCUCUAUAUGAUUAUAGUAUUGUAGCAAUGGAUGGAUACAUUGGACUUACAUAUUUUAGGGAGCUUUGGAAAAGUUGCUGUGUUUCCGAGAACUGAUAAAAGG